UUUUCUACCAAAUCAAAUGCGCCAUAUUAGUUUGACAUUUCCCACAACUCAAAGCUCUCUCUUUUAUACCAAGAAAAACACAACCGAACAAGGUAAGCUGUGAACUUUGAUUUCCUUCCAUAGUCCAUCUUUCAGAUUUCAAAGAAAGCAAUAUGUGAGAUCCUUUUUCAGGCUCCACAACCUCAACCGAAAGCUCUCAAUGCUUCAUCUACAAGUCACUCUGCCCAUUUUAUCUCUAUUCACGGCUUUGUGACCAGGGGGAUUAACGCUGCUUUCCCAAGACAGGUUUUUAUGUGUAUGAUCUUCAGGCUUUGCCUAUCCAGGUUGGCUGGCCGGUGCUGACGGGACUGAGCUGAGGCUAGGGUUCAACUUCCUUUUAAGACUUCCGCUGUAGCAGUAAAUAAUAUUUUGUCUUUUGUUUUCUCAACUUAAGACUUUCAUAUCAGAUUUAGAAUGACAUCUAUGAUUGAGCCUAAGCACUUAACUCCUAGUUUUAUGCUAAUGAAUUUUGGUUAUCAGAAGCAUGAAACAAAACUUGUGAUCCAAAGGGGCCUAGCCCGACUCGUUAUCUUAUUAUUCGAGUCUUAACAAGGUUGUUCCUUGUUUAUUUCUAUGAAUUAGUUGCACCUCGAUUAUAUUUAUUCAUUCAAGAAUUGGGGUGUGA